rfam:Dipodomys ordii contig_42115, whole genome shotgun sequence.
GGGAAGGUGGCUCAGUGGUAGAGCGCUUGCCUUGUAUGCAUGAGGCCCUGGGUCCGAUUCCUCACCACCACA